GGACCUUUAGCUCAGUUGGUUAGAGCAUCCGGCUCAUAACCGGACGGUCACUGGUUCAAGUCCAGUAAGGUCCACCA
rnacentral:tRNA from 2 species